AAGUGAGAAUGCCGGUGUGAGUAGCGAAAGACGGGUGAGAAUCCCGUCCACCGAUUGACUAAGGUUUCCAGAGGAAGGCUCGUCCGCUCUGGGUUAGUCGGGUCCUAAGCUGAGGCCGACAGGCGUAGGCGAUGGAUAACAGGUUGAUAUUCCUGUACCACCAUUAUUCGUUUUAAGCGAUGGGGGGACGCAGUAGGAUAGGCGAAGCGUGCUGUUGGAGUGCACGUCCAAGCAGUGAGAUUGAGUGUUAGGCAAAUCCGGCACUCUUAAGAUUGAGCUGUGAUGGGGAGAGGAACUUGUUCCUCGAGUCGUUGAUUUCACACUGCCGAGAAAAGCCUCUAGCUAGAAUAACGGUGCCCGUACCGCAAACCGACACAGGUAGUCAAGAUGAGAAUUCUAAGGUGAGCGAGCGAACUCUCGUUAAGGAACUCGGCAAAAUGACCCCGUAACUUCGGGAGAAGGGGUGCUCUUUGAGGUUCACGCUUCGAAGAGCCGCAGUGAAUAGGCCCAAGCGACUGUUUAUCAAAAACACAGGUCUCUGCUAAACCGUAAGGUGACGUAUAGGGGCUGACGCCUGCCCGGUGCUGGAAGGUUAAGAGGAGUGGUUAGCGCAAGCGAAGCUACGAAUCGAAGCCCCAGUAAACGGCGGCCGUAACUAUAACGGUCCUAAGGUAGCGAAAUUCCUUGUCGGGUAAGUUCCGACCCGCACGAAAGGCGUAACGAUUUGGGCACUGUCUCAACGAGAGACUCGGUGAAAUCAUAGUACCGGUGAAGAUGCCGGUUACCCGCGACAGGACGGAAAGACCCCGUGGAGCUUUACUGUAGCCUGAUAUUGAAAUUCGGUACAGUUUGUACAGGAUAGGUAGGAGCCUUAGAAGCGUGAGCGCUAGCUUACGUGGAGGCAUUGGUGGGAUACUACCCUAAUUGUAUUGGAUUUCUAACCCGCAGCACUUAUCGUGCUGGGAGACAGUGUCAGGCGGGCAGUUUGACUGGGGCGGUCGCCUCCUAAAGAGUAACGGAGGCGCUCAAAGGUUCCCUCAGAAUGGUUGGAAAUCAUUCAUAGAGUGUAAAGGCAUAAGGGAGCUUGACUGCGAGACCUACAAGUCGAGCAGGGUCGAAAGACGGACUUAGUGAUCCGGUGGUUCCGCAUGGAAGGGCCAUCGCUCAACGGAUAAAAGCUACCCCGGGGAUAACAGGCUUAUCUCCCCCAAGAGUUCACAUCGACGGGGAGGUUUGGCACCUCGAUGUCGGCUCAUCGCAUCCUGGGGCUGUAGUCGGUCCCAAGGGUUGGGCUGUUCGCCCAUUAAAGCGGUACGCGAGCUGGGUUCAGAACGUCGUGAGACAGUUCGGUCCCUAUCCGUCGUGGGCGUAGGAAAUUUGAGAGGAGCUGUCCUUAGUACGAGAGGACCGGGAUGGACAUACCUCUGGUGUACCAGUUGUCGUGCCAACGGCAUAGCUGGGUAGCUAUGUAUGGACGGGAUAAGUGCUGAAAGCAUCUAAGCAUGAAGCCCCCCUCGAGAUGAGAUUUCCCAACUUCGGUUAUAAG
rnacentral:rRNA from 1 species